AUGAACCAUCUGUCAAUGAAGACAGUCAAAAAGAAUCUUCUCCAGGUCUUAUGAUAAAGAGUACAGGUGAAAAGGCUACCAAGAAGAUUCGAAAAUUUAUUCCCUGUGAAGAUGACUUUGUUCUUCCAACUCCCAAAAUGACGAAUACACAGUCUGGUAAAUAUGGCACAACUACCAACACAAUGAAAAGACGCCGCAUCCUGCAUCCUGCAAAUA